GACGACUCUCGGCAACGGAUAUCUCGGCUCUCGCAUCGAUGAAGAACGUAGCGAAAUGCGAUACUUGGUGUGAAUUGCAGAAUUCCCGUGAACCAUCGAGUCUUUGAACGCAAGUUGCGCCCGAGGCCACUCGGCCGAGGGCACGCCUGCCUGGGCGUCACGCC
rnacentral:rRNA from 1 species